rnacentral:misc_RNA from 1 species
GAUGAAGAACGUAGCGAAAUGCGAUACGUAAUGUGAAUUGCAGAAUUCAGUGAAUCAUCGAGUCUUUGAACGCACAUUGCGCCCCCUGGUAUUCCGGGGGGCAUGCCUGUCCGAGCGUCAUUGCUGCCCUCAAGCACGGCUUGCGUGUUGGGCCUCCGUCCUCCUCCCGGGGGACGGGCCCGAAAGGCAGCGGCGGCACCGCGUCCGGUCCUCGAGCGUAUGGGGCUUCGUCACCCGCUCUUGUAGGCCCGGCCGGCGCUUGCCGACACAUCAAUCUUUUUUCCAGGUUGACCUCGGAUCAGGUAGGGAUACCCGCUGAACUUAAGCAUAUCAAUAAGCGGAGGA